CCACCACUGUAAUUGUUGAAACCUCUACCUCAACACCACAGCCCACAUCAACAGGUGAAGAAACAACAGGGCCAGUUGGCAUUACUUCCAAUCCCACGACUUCAACCACAACAACUGCAGAGGUAAUUACACCUACCACAGGUGGAACUACAAAAGUUGAAGAAACCACAACGGUGACUAUUCCAUCUACAUCCACAAAGCCACCUAAAGAAUUCACCACUGGCCCAACAACCACUUCCACCACUGUAAUUGUUGAAACCUCUACCUCAACAUCCCAGCCCACAACAACAGGUGAAGAAACAACAGGGCCAGUUGGCAUUACUUCCAAUCCCACGACAUCAACCACAACAACUGCAGAGGUAAUUACACCUACCACAGGUGGAACUACAAAAGUUGAAGAAACCACAACGGAGUCUAUUCCAUCUACAUCCACAACGCCACCUAAAGAAUUCACCACUGGCCCAACAACCACUUCCACCACCGUAAGUGUUGAAACCUCUACCUCAACACCACAGCCCACAUCAACAGGUGAAGAAACAACAGGGCCAGUUGGCAUUACU